rnacentral:tRNA from 1 species
UGCGAGAUCGUCUAAUGGUAGGACUGCGGUUUUUGGUACCGCCUAUCUAGGUUCGAGUCCUAGUCUCGCAGCAA